rnacentral:rRNA from 1 species
UACGUAGGGUGCAAGCGUUAAUCGGAAUUACUGGGCGUAAAGCGUGCGCAGGCGGCUUUGCAAGACAGAUGUGAAAUCCCCGGGCUUAACCUGGGAACUGCAUUUGUGACCGCAAGGCUGGAGUACGGCAGAGGGGGAUGGAAUUCCGCGUGUAGCAGUGAAAUGCGUAGAUAUGCGGAGGAACACCGAUGGCGAAGGCAAUCCCCUGGGCCUGUACUGACGCUCAUGCACGAAAGCGUGGGGAGCAAACAGG